rnacentral:rRNA from 1 species
GAUGAACGCUAGCGGCAGGCCUAAUACAUGCAAGUCGAACGGUAACAGGGGAGCUUGCUCCCGCUGACGAGUGGCGCACGGGUGAGUAACGCGUAUGCAACCUACCUCCAACUGGGGAAUAGCCCCGGGAAACCGGGAUUAAUACCCCAUAAUGCCUAAAAGUAGCAUUACUUUAAGGUUAAAGUCUUGGCGGUUGGAGAUGGGCAUGCGUGACAUUAGCUUGUUGGUGAGGUAACGGCUCACCAAGGCUACGAUGUCUAGGGGGUCUGAGAGGAUGAUCCCCCACACUGGUACUGAGACACGGACCAGACUCCUACGGGAGGCAGCAGUAAGGAAUAUUGGGCAAUGGGCGAAAGCCUGACCCAGCCAUGCCGCGUGCAGGAUGACGGCUCUAGUAGUUGUAAACUGCUUUUAUACGGGAAGAAACCCCUCUACGUGUAGAGGGCUGACGGUACCGUAAGAAUAAGGAUCGGCUAACUCCGUGCCAGCAGCCGCGGUAAUACGGAGGAUCCAAGCGUUAUCCGGAUUUAUUGGGUUUAAAGGGUGCGUAGGCGGAACGGUAAGUCAGUGGUGAAAGCCUGCAGCUUAACUGCAGAAUUGCCAUUGAUACUGCUGUCCUUGAGUAUAGUUGAAGUGGGCGGAAUGUGUCAUGUAGCGGUGAAAUGCAUAGAUAUGACACAGAACACCGAUUGCGAAGGCAGCUCACUAAACUAUUACUGACGCUAAGGCACGAAAGCGUGGGGGGCAAACAGGAUUAGAUACCCUGGUAGUCCACGCCGUAAACGAUGAUUACUCGAUGUUGGCGAUAUACUGUCAGCGUUCAAGCGAAAGCAUUAAGUAAUCCACCUGGGGAGUACGGUCGCAAGAUUGAAACUCAAAGGAAUUGACGG